rnacentral:rRNA from 1 species
CGGAUCGCAGGCUGCAACCCGCCUGCGUGAAGUUGGAAUCGCUAGUAAUCGCGGAUCAGCAUGCCGCGGUGAAUACGUUCCCGGGCCUUGUACACACCGCCCGUCACACCAUGAGAGUCGGGAACACCCGAAGUCCGUAGCCUAACCGCAAGGGGGCGCGGCCGAAGGUGGGUUCGAUAACUGGGGUGAAGUCGUAACAAGGUAUC